rnacentral:lncRNA from 1 species
AUCCCGUGGCAGGAAACAAUGAAGCCACUAGCCAGCAGACAGAAACUGGCAAUGCUGCCUCUGAGACCAAUCAAAAUGAGAACAACAGUAGUGAUAACUCCAAUGCUGCAGCUGGAACCAAUGAAGCCAAUGAACAUCAACAAGGAAAUGAGAACUCUGCCUCUCAUACCCAAAAUGAGAACAACGCUAGCGAUAACUCAAAUCCUGCAGCAGGAAAUGAGAACAACUCUAGUGACGACUCCAAUUCUGCAGCAGAAACCAAUGAAGCACAGCAGCAGGACAAUAACAGUUCUGCCUCUGGUACC